CCUACGGGUGGCAGCAGUGAGGAAUAUUGGUCAAUGGGCGGAAGCCUGAACCAGCCAAGUAGCGUGCGGGAUGAAGGCCCUACGGGUCGUAAACCGCUUUUGCACGGGGAUAACACCCUCCACUUGUGGAGGUCUGCAGGUACCGUGCGAAUAAGGGCCGGCAAAUUCCGUGCCAGCAGCCGCGGUAAUACGGAAGGCCCGACGGUUAUCCGGAUUCAUUGGGCUAAAAGGGAGCGUAGGCGGGCGUUCAAGUCAGCUGUAAAAUCGCGCGGCUCAACCGCGCCCCGCAGUUGAAACUGGACGACUUGAGUAAACAAGAGGGAGGCGGAAUUCGUGGUGUAGCGGUGAAAUGCAUAGAUAUCAGGAGGAACGCCGAUGGCGAAGGCAGCCUGCCGGGGUGCGACUGACGCUGAGGCUCGAAGGUGAGGGUAGCAAACAGGAUUAGAUACCCUUGUAGUC
rnacentral:rRNA from 1 species